GAGAGCAAAAAAUCUUUCUUCCUGAGUCUCAUAGCAAUGAAGCAACCAAACAGAAAACUGGCCCAAACCCAAGUUGAAAAGCCUUGUGGGAAGGAGAGCCAAGCAGGCUAAAGAGAAUGAGGCUAUCUCUGUGCCAUAUCACUGCAUACACCUCAUUAACUAUCAUGGCCGCAGGUUGGGUGGAUCUCAGCUUGUCCUGCAGCCUGUAUUAAGUUCAGGAUGUUUGGAAAUACCAAACUUGGAAGAAGAUCACACAAACCCCUGCCUGAGAAAAUUUUGCUGAUCCUGGUCCUAGACUGUGUCUAACCCUUACAACCACUAGCCAAGCCUGAGAAGAAGCUGGGGAUGUCUCUGUGGCAGGCUGAAUAUGUGGCCCCCAAACACGUCCAGGGAGGUCAUCUGGAGCAUCCCUGGAGAAAAGGCAGUCCAAGGUCAGGAGGAUUGGCUCUGCUGUUCAGACACUGCACUGUCCUCAUACCAGGCUAGACGGUGGUGAAUCUGAGAACAAUGCAUCACCCCAGGGCCAGGUACCAGAGAAGUCAGGACAUCCCCUACAUCCCAGGUCCCACAGAGACUAUUCAAAUUAGCUAAACUGAAGUCACACUACGCUGCCCCUUUCUUCCAGUGGAAACCACAAUAGAGGCUCUCUUUCACCAUGUGCCCUUACCUCUUUGCCUCCUGAUGCCUCCUGUGUGGCCCAGUGUGGCGUCACAUGCCCCUUCUUCUUGGGAACGGUGAGUAUCAAGCUAUCUUUUCCAUGGCAGUCCUUUCCUGAUACUGUUGGCCUCACCAGACCUGAAGAAUAAUCAAGCUCAUAUUUUGAAACAGUAUGUGCCCAUUUAAACCCUGGACAGGUAUGGCCUGGGAAGCUCAGGUGACAUGUCAAGCUCCUAGCCUUGUGCUGAGCCCCUUGGAGGAGUUCUGGAAAUAGCUGUCCUCAUUCGUCCCUUUCUCUCUCUUCCUUGACUGUGACCUCAUUGACUUGCUCUAGAUGCACUAAUCUUUCCCAGCAGCCUCAUUGCUUACACCUCGCAGUUUAUGCUGGCAUUGUUCCUCUUCCCAGACAGCUGCCUAAGCAAUCCUCUGCUCUCACUGUCCCACUUUGAGAGGCUGAGGGUGAGGUCACAGCAUGGUUGGUGCAUCAGUGCUUGCAUUGCUCAGGCAGUGUUGUCAGAGCCUGAGCAUGCAUGCCUGUCAUCCACCUGCGGUCAGUGACCUGUCAAUACCUCAUUCUGGAAGCAGUUUUUUCCUCCUCUUGAACUUGAUCCAGACCUCACACAGAUGAACUCUUAUAGGCCAGUUUACAUUCCUUUCUCUGGGGCGGCACUGAAGAGGAUUAUCCAAUUCUCUAAUUUCGGUUAUCUGUUCCCCCCUCCCAUGCUCAUCCCUUCUGCUCAGUCUAGAACUUACCUCUUGGAUUUAUUACUCCUCAUUAGCACCUCCUCCAGGAAAGGUGCCCUGGAGAGAGGGUUGUCUUAGGUGGUUUCCUCUAAGAGCAGAGCCUGAGACAUAUAGUUUAUCUGGAAGUGUGAAUCCUGGAAGCUGGAGUGUGGGAGUAAGGAGUGAACAGGAUAAGGAGAAAAAAAACCCAACAGAGAAGGUGCAUUUGAACUGGUUACCACUGUGGGCAUCCCAGGCUCAGUUCCCUGGGGACCUCUGAGGAACUGUGUGGAAUGCACCUCAGAAUUGUCCUUCUGAAUGUCAGAAUCCUGGGACAUUUAUCCACCAACUCCUGUGAGCCAUUGACAGAGGACUGCCCUGGGGGUGGUAACUCCUCCCUAUUCUGGGGCGGAACCUGAGCCAAGGCUGAGUGUUCCUCCAGGGCUGAGGAGAAAGGCAGGGAGGCAGAACAGCUGGGAAAUCUUUGAGAUGAGACUCAAGAUGGAAAGCUGGCCGUGGGGCUACAACCAUCUACCUCAGAGUGCAAAAAUCAGUAGGCUUAUAAGUCAGUGUCCUACAGAGAGGGUGAAAUUUAAAUCAGUCAGGAGUAGCUUAAGAGAAGGAUUUGGAACUGAGGGUUUACAAUUGAUGACCUAAACUGAUGGUUUAAAAAAUCACCGGUAGAUCUUACCUGCCUGUAUUUUUCCUUUCCUCCUUAUGUUCAGGAGAGGACUUGACCUGUUUACCACCAACAAUUCCUUUAGGAUGAAUGAUUACUGGUUACUUACCUUUGCCAAGACACAGAGAGAGAGAUAGAGGCAGAGAGAGAGGGAGAAGCAGGCUCCAUGCAGGGAGCCCGACAUGGGACUUGAUCCCUGGUCUCCAGGAUUACAGCCCGGGCCCAAGGCAGGCACCAAACCACUGGACUACCGGGGCUGCCCUUUAUGCUGUCUAUUAAUAACGACAUUAAGGACAAAGAAAAGUUGAAAAUAAAGGAUGAAAAAAACAUGUACCAGGAUGGAAGGUUCCUGGUUACUCCGCUCUUGGGCAUGGAUCAUCUCUGGGGUCCUCUGAAGAGAAAGGGUGAGUUCUACUUUCAAGACUGGAUGAAAGUAAUCCUGCCACACGACUGAGGGUUGUUUGAACGUCCAAAUAUCUUUUGAGACCUGAACUCAGGAUCCCUGAGAUCAAGACCUGAGCCAAGAUCAAGAAUCAGAUGCCCAACCAACUGAGCCACCCAGGUGCCCCCAGUUGGAGCCUCCACAUAUCUUGUGAGUGCUGCAGAGAUAAAAAUUCUUGUUGAGCAGUAGAUACUACAGAGCCCAUCAGCUUAUUGAUAAAGCCUAUGGACUAUAGAGUCAUACUUCCUGGGUUUCAAUCUUAUCUCUUCUGUUUGCUAGCAGGGUGACUUAGCAAAUUACUCAACCUCUCUGUGCCUUGAUUUCUUCAACUGAGAAAGGGGGAUGCUGAUUAUUGUACCUAUUUCAGUAUACUGUGUUGUGAGAAAUAAAUGAAAUAAUAUGCAUAAA